rnacentral:rRNA from 1 species
UACAGAGGGUGCAAGCGUUGUUCGGAAUUAUUGGGCGUAAAGCGCGUGUAGGCGGCUUUGCAAGUCGGGUGUGAAAGCCCUCAGCUUAACUGAGGAAGUGCGCCCGAAACUGCUUAGCUUGAGUGUCGGAGAGGAUGGCGGAAUUCCCCAAGUAGAGGUGAAAUUCGUAGAUAUGGGGAGGAACACCGGUGGCGAAGGCGGCCAUCUGGACGACAACUGACGCUGAGACGCGAAAGCGUGGGGAGCAAACAGG